rnacentral:rRNA from 1 species
CAGUCGCCGCGGUAAUACGGAGGGUGCAAGCGUUAAUCGGAAUUACUGGGCGUAAAGCGCACGCAGGCGGUCUGUCAAGUCGGAUGUGAAAUCCCCGGGCUCAACCUGGGAACUGCAUCCGAAACUGGCAGGCUAGAGUCUUGUAGAGGGGGGUAGAAUUCCAGGUGUAGCGGUGAAAUGCGUAGAGAUCUGGAGGAAUACCGGUGGCGAAGGCGGCCCCCUGGACAAAGACUGACGCUCAGGUGCGAAAGCGUGGGGAGCAAACAGGAUUAGAUACCCCUGUAGUCCCUGUCUCUUAUAC